UAGGUUAAUUAGUUUUUAUUUUAAUUUUAACUAUUUUAAUUAUUUAACUUUAUUUAGUUUUUAAUUUAAUAUUGGGUUUCAAAAUAAACUUAGGCCCAUUAUCAUUAACCUAAUUUGUUCAUAUAUACAUUUACUAGCAUGACUGAUAGAAAGAGGCCGGAAGACAGAACAAAAAAGAGAAACUGAGAGUGGCUGAUCUAUACUAUCGUACACACAGUUUGGUAAUAAUUUAUAUAUGAUAUAUACUUUAUCUAUUUUGUUGAUAUAUUUGAUUAUGUUUUCGGAUCGGAUCGUGUCAAUACGCCGUUUUCACAUAUACGUGUAUGAGGCGUGACAUUUGCGUUAUUCGAUCCAGUUGCGAUGAUCGCAAUUUUGCGCUAGCAACGCCGUUGUUUUUUUUAAUUCAGUUUUUUUUUAUAUAUAUAUAUACAUAUAUUUAGAUCUGCACAUUUUUUUUUUCAUAACUAACUACCCUGAUUUUUCCUAAACCCUGACAAUUUCGCCACAAACUCUAAAUUUCAAACCUAAAACUUUAACCGUGUUGUUUCCUCUAAACCAUAAACCUUUUCUUAAACCUUAACAAACCUUAUUAUUAUUUCCUAUUUUCGCUCAUAUUUAUGUUAUUCAUACACUGUAACUGCUUCGCCCU
rnacentral:lncRNA from 1 species